rnacentral:tRNA from 1 species
GGGGAUAUAGCUCAGGGGUAGAGCGCUCCCUUAGCAUGGCAGAGGGCUGGGGUUCGAUUACCCAUAUCUCCA